GACGAACGCUGGCGGCGUGCUUAACACAUGCAAGUCGAACGGAAAGGCCCUGCUUUUGUGGGGUGCUCGAGUGGCGAACGGGUGAGUAACACGUGAGUAACCUGCCCUUGACUUUGGGAUAACUUCAGGAAACUGGGGCUAAUACCGGAUAGGAGCUCCUGCUGCAUGGUGGGGGUUGGAAAGUUUCGGCGGUUGGGGAUGGACUCGCGGCUUAUCAGCUUGUUGGUGGGGUAGUGGCUUACCAAGGCUUUGACGGGUAGCCGGCCUGAGAGGGUGACCGGCCGCAUUGGGACUGAGAUACGGCCCAGAGUCCUACGGGAGGCAGCAGUGGGGAAUAUUGCACAAUGGGCGGAAGCCUGAUGCAGCAACGCCGCGUGCGGGAUGACGGCCUUCGGGUUGUAAACCGCUUUCGCCUGUGACGAAGCGUGAGUGACGGUAAUGGGUAAAGAAGCACCGGCUAACUACGUG
rnacentral:rRNA from 1 species